AUUUUACACCUGCACAUUCACAGAAGAGACAAAUUCCACACAAAAUAGAGACACACACAGAGACAGAAGAAAACCAACUGACACUCAGCAUCUUGAAAAGGAAGAAAACAAAUAUUCCAGCUAGCAGUGCAGAACUCUGCUUGAUCUCUUGCCAGAAAAUAGAAGUCAGUUUAACUUAUGUUGCUGAUGACUAGAAAGUCCAAGAUGGAGGAAGUACACCUGAACGACCAUUUGUGCUGUACUAUGACAUGGUAGAAAGCAUCAUAUGGAAUUGGUGUAUAUUGCAACCUAGCCAACAUUUGAAGGUGUCUUGUCCUCAUCUCAUGUGCCCCCUAGCAACGAUAUUAUCAACAAGAACUUCAUUUUCUUUAUAACCAAUAUGCUCAAGUCCAGAGACAUGAUCUGAAGAAAUUCUGAAGCAGCAGUGCUUUCUAAUGACUUCUAGGCAAUUCCAUUAUUUGCAUUGGUCAUUUUGUAGCCACUGCUGUCACAUCUUCCUGCUGAGUGUUUGCUUAAUCCGAGUGAAGAUACCUUUGGAGAGGGAAGCACGGACUUCAUUAUGGAUCAGUGAUACAUUGAGUCUGCAGGGGAGAAAUGGAAAACAGAGGCUCCUUAAGUUAAAUCCAUGUGAACACCAAAAACCACAAAUAUAUUUGGAUAUGUGUCACAUCCACCUCAUCAAAUGCUGUGUAAUACAGAUGGAAGAUAUCACCCAGACAUCUAUAAUUUUAUCCAAAAAUGACACUAUAAAUGGAACUAGCGGCCCAGGAUACAGAUACAGUUAUGUAGCACCAACUCAUAGACAGAAAACUAAGGAUUUCCUUAACUAUCCCCAACAUAAAUAAUAAUAUCUUGGUGACUGUUACCUAAAUAAAAAAGUUACAGUAGAAAAUCAUUGUGUUUGGAGCUGUGACGAAAGGACGGACCAUCUAGAGACUGCCAUAUCCAGGGAUCCACCCCAUAAUCAGCUUCCAAAUGCUGACACCAUUGCAUACACUAGCAAGNNNNNNNNNNNNNNNNNNNNNNNNNNNNNNNNNNNNNNNNNNNNNNNNNNNNNNNNNNNNNNNNNNNNNNNNNNNUAUGUAUCAAAAGAUGGCCUAGUCGGCCAUCACUGGGAAGAGAGGCCCAUUGGACACGCAAACUUUAUAUGCCCCAGUACAGAGGAACGCCAGGGCCAAAAAGUGGGAGUGGGUGGGUAGGGGAAAAUAGAUUAUCUUUUCAUACAGUAUAUCCUGAUUAUAGUUUCUUCUCCCUCUACUCCUCUCAGUACCUUGCCACCUUUCCUUCCCUCCAAAUAUAACCCCUUUCUGUCUUUUACUAGAAAAUAACAGGUUUCUAAGAGAUAACAACCAAACAUGACAAAAUAAAAUACAAUAUGAUGAAGCAAAAAUUGUUAUAUUGAAAUUGGGCAUGGCUACCCAACAUGAGGAGAAAAGUACCAAGAGUAGGUACAAGCAUCAGAGAAAUACUCGUUAUUAUCAUCAGGAGUACCAUAAAAAUACUAAUCUAAUAGCUAUAAUAUAUAUGCAGAGAAUCUGGUACAGUCACAUAUAGGCCUGUGCUUUCUGCUUCAAUCUCUGUGACCUCCUAUGUCCUUUGCUUAGUUGAUCUAAGUGGCAUUGCAGAAAAGCUUCGUUUGACAGUGGGAAACAGUCAAACUAGGGAAUCAUAACUUACUAAGGUUCUGAAAAUGAGUUAUUGUUAAGUGCUUGGCUCCAAAAGAUACAUGUAUGACAUAUCCCCUGCAACCCAUGGAACAUAGCAGAAGAGAGGAUGGAUGGAUGGACAGUGAGAAUCAAAGGACAUAUUGAGAUGUCAUCUGGAUAUGACAUGUCUAUUGUAUCCAAGAACACACAACCACUGCAACUGCCUGAAUCAGCCCUGAACCAAAAAAUACUGUGGUGAGGGGUAUAUAAGAGUAAGAGGGUUAUUAUGGGAAAAUGAAGGGGGUUGGCAGGAAUGGGAAGAGGAGAGGAGAAGGUAAUUGAGUAUUAGUGUUAUCAAAUCACAUUUUUUUUACUUUUCUUUUUUAUUAGAUAUUUUCUUUAUUUACAUUUCAAAUGUUAUUCCCUUUCUUAUUUUCCCCUCAGAAAACCCCCUAUCACUUCCCCCCUCCACCUGCUCACCAACCCACCCACUCCAGCUUCCUGGCCCUGGCAUUCACCUAUACUGGGGAACAUUCACAGGAUGAAGGGCCGCUCUUUCCAUUGAUGACUGACUAGUCCAUUCUCUGCUACAUAUACAGCUAGAGCCAUGAGUCCCACCAUGUGUUUUCUUUGGUUGAUGGUUUAGUCCCAGGGAGGUCUGGGGGUACUGGUUAGUUCAUAUUGUUGUUCCUCCUAUGGGAAUGCAAACUCCUUCAGCUCUUUGAGUGCUUUUCCUAGCUCCUUCAUUAGGGACCCAGUGCUCUGUCCAAUGAAUGGCUGUGAGCAUCCACUUCUGUAUUUCUCAGGCACUGGCAGAGCCUCUCAGGAGACAGCUAUAUCAGGUUCUUGUUACCAAGCUCUUGUUGUCAUCCACAAUAGUGCCUGGGUUUGAUGGUUGUAUAUAGGAUGGAUACAGAGGUAUGGCAGUCUCUGGAUGAUCAUUCCUACAGUUUCUGCUCCACAUUUUGACUUUGUAACUCCUUCCAUGGGUGUUUUGUUCCCCCUUCUAAGAAGGAUCAAAGUGUCCAUACUUUGGUCUUCCUUCUUCUCGAGUUUCAUGUGUUUUAUGAAUUGUAUCUUGGGUAUUCCAAGCUUCUGGGCUAAUUUCCAUUUAUCAGUGAGUGCAUAUCAUGUGUGUUCUUUUGUGAUUGGGCUACCUCACUCAGGAUAAUAUCCUCCAGAUCCAUCCAUUUGCUAAGAAUUUCAUAAAUUAAUUGUUUUUAAUAGCUGAGUCGCACUCCAUUGUGUAAAUGUACUACAUUUUCUGUAUCCAUUCCUCUGUUGAGGGACAUCUGGGUUCUUUCCAGCUCCUGGCUAUUAUAAAUACAGAGGUAAAUAAAGUAUUCUCAACUGAGAAAUACUGAAUGGCUGAGAAGCACCUAAAGAAAUGUUAAACAUCCUUAGUCAUCAGGGAAAUGCAAUUCAAAACAACCCUGAGAUUCUACCUCACACCAGUCAGAAUAGCUAAGAUAAAAAACUCAGGUGACAGCAGAUGAUGGCUAGAAUGUAGAGAAAGAGGAACAUUCCUCCAUUGAUGGUGGGAUUGCAAGCUGGUACAACCACUCUGGAAAUCAGUUUGGCAGUUCCUCAGAAAAUUGGACAUAGUACUACCAGAGGAUCCAGAAAUACCACUCCUGGGCAUAUAACCAGAAGAUGCUCCAACAUGUAACAAGGACACAUGCUCCACUAUGUUCAAAUCACAUUUAAAGCAAGUAUGUAUGAUACUGUCAAAAUAUAUAUUAAUAUACGUUUUAGUCUGAAGGUGAGGAGAAAAAGCAACAUUCAGGGAAGAAAAGCGAACACCAUUGACAAUGAAUAUGGAUUUCUCUGAGAGUUGUGGAAAUGAGACAUAUCCUAAUGUGAAUAUGGGAUCUCUAGGGGAGAGUUGCAACUGUUCUAAUAUUAGUAACAUUCUCAAUUUUGGCAGUUCUCAUUACAUCCCAAAACACUACUAAGAAACUUGUGGGGUUUUUUCUUCUUCUUUCUCCAUUUGACAGGUUUGGUGACUCUGGUGGAGGUCCCUUGGAUAGAACUAUAAUGUGAUAAAGUAAAAACAGAAGCCACUGGAGUUGCACAAGAGCUUUGGUACAUGUCAAUUUCCUGUAAAUGAAGGUUCUGAUUAUAGUCCUAUUAAAUUGCAGGGCUUAAAAUGGGAAAGGGAGAAAAGCCUUAAGCAGUUUUCGAUUGUGCAAACAGAGUUCUUGUCUUUCUGCUGGCAUGAGGUUUCAAUUGGAUCCUAGGGUGAGGCAAUUUUCCCUGUUCUCACCUUUUGCCCAGUUUUUCUUGCUAUUCUAUCCUUUCUCUAUAGAAAAAAGAAAAAAAAAGUUCAAACCAAAAAUUACUCCCCCAAACAAACAAACAAACAAACAAACAAACAAAACACUGUAUAUGCAGAAAGACAGGCACCUAAGCUAAUUCAAUUAACAGAGGACUUCCCCCAGCCCAAGAAAGAACACAUGUCUCUAGUAAGCUGCUUGUUCACAGAGGUGAAAAAGGAGUAUUUCGAGAAAAGUCAAUCUCUUUAAUAAAUUGUUCUCUUGCCCUACAAAAAGUUAAACUUAAAAGAGAUCAGAUAUCUUAACGAAAGAUUCAAAAUUUGGAACUACUAGAAGAAAAAUAGAACUACUGAAGGAUAUUAAUAUAGGGGAAAAUUAGUCUAUAGGAAUCCAAAAACCCAUCAAACAAGGCACUGGACAAAUGGGACUACAUCAAGUUAAAAGGUUUGAACAGAAAAGGAAAAAAUAGCUAACAGACUUGGACAGACUAUUUGUCAACCAUUAGUGGAAGAUGAAUAACUAGUAUAUGUAAGUAACUAAAAAUCUUAACAUUGAAACAAUAAUGCACAGAAAAAUAGUCAAAUGUGUUCAACACACAUUUCUAAAGAAACAGGCAGAGAGUACAGGAAACAAAAACUUUCAAAAUAUUAUUAAUCAUCAAAGAAAUGCAAGAGGAAACUGAAUGGAAAUUCAUUCUAUUUUCAGUCAGAAUGGCAAAUAAGAAAUAGAAAAAAGACAAUCC
ensembl:lincRNA Gm43740 predicted gene 43740